AAUAGAUACCCUGGUAGUCCACGCCGUAAACGAUGAGUACUAGGUGUAGGGGGUAUCGACCCCCUCUGUGCCGAAGCUAACGCGAUAAGUACUCCGCCUGGGGACUACGGCCGCAAGGCUAAAACUCAAAGGAAUUGACGGGGGCCCGCACAAGCAGCGGAGCGUGUGGUUUAAUUCGAUGAUACGCGAAGAACCUCACCCAGGUUUGACAUGCAUGUGGUACGGAUCCGAAAGGUGAAGGACCCCUCGGGGAGCAUGCACAGGUGUUGCAUGGCCGUCGUCAGCUCGUGCCGUGAGGUGUUGGGUUAAGUCCCGCAACGAGCGCAACCCCGUGUCGCCAGUUGUAUUUUUCUGGCGAGACUGCCGAGAAAACCUCGGAGGAAGGAGGGGACGAUGUCAGGUCAGCAUGGCCCUUACGCCUGGGGCUACACACACGCUACAAUGGGCGGUACAACGGGUUGCCAAGCCGCGAGGUGGAGCUAAUCCCAUCAAAGCCGUCCUCAGUUCGGAUUGCAGGCUGAAACCCGCCUGCAUGAAGCCGGU
rnacentral:rRNA from 1 species